AGAGGAGGAAAGGCGAGGAGGGUUGAAUUAAUAUUUUUUUUUUGAGAAAAAGAUAGCACGCUACCUGCUUCAUUCAUUGAAUAAAUAAACUAGACUAUAAGAGUGAGGCAAUCUGGACUCCUUGAAAAAAAAAAAGAAAUGAAAAAGUGAUAAGCUCAGAGUUCAAAAUGAGAGAAGUGAAUCCCAUUCGUUCACCAGCAGAAAAAAAGGAGUGAAUUAAUGUUAAAUUGCUAAAAUGAUGGAGUAUGUUA
rnacentral:lncRNA from 1 species